rnacentral:rRNA from 1 species
GACGAACGCUGGCGGCGUGCCUAAUACAUGCAAGUUGAGCGCUGAAGGUUGGUACUUGUACCAACUGGAUGAGCAGCGAACGGGUGAGUAACGCGUGGGGAAUCUGCCUUGGAGCGGGGGCAACAUUUGGAAACGAAUGCUAAUACCGCAUAAAAACUUUAAACACAAGUUUUAAGUUUGAAAGAUGCAAUUGCAUCACUCAAAGAUGAUCCCGCGUUGUAUUAGCUAGUUGGUGAGGUAAAGGCUCACCAAGGCGAUGAUACAUAGCCGACCUGAGAGGGUGAUCGGCCACCUUGGGACUGAGACACGGCCCAAACUCCUACGGGAGGCAGCAGUAGGGAAUCUUCGGCAAUGGACGAAAGUCUGACCGAGCACCGCCGCGUGAGUGAAGAAGGUUUUCGGAUCGUAAAACUCUGUUGGUAGAGAAGAACGUUGGUGAGAGUGGAAAGCUCAUCAAGUGACGUUAACUACACAGAAAGGGACGGCUAACUACGUG